rnacentral:misc_RNA from 1 species
AUGUCGAUGCACGAUGGGAGGUACUUGUGGUUCUUCAACUUCAUGGUUGUCUGGCCUAGCCGCCAUCCGCCCGCGCAAACGCGGUACAGCUCCACUACAGCAGCAGGAGGCGGUGACGUCGCCAAAGGCUGGCAGAUACUUGAUGGCUCUUGAUAAGAAGCCUAUUGCAACUAAAGGCCACCACCUUUGUUGUCCUCACCCUAGCCGAGGACCUCAUCUCCCAGUGGCGACAAAAUGGUCCAUUAGUGGAAACACCAAGCAUCAUGGAGAGCUGUUUCGUCAGGAGCUUCGAACGCGAGCCAUAGACGGGGAGUUGAUGCCACUGGGCUUAUGGGCUCUUCUUUUGGGCACCAAAGCAAAGAGCAGUGGAUAAUAUUUGGAAUGGUCAUAAGUCAAACUAGACUUCCCUAGCGACAGCGAUUCAACGAAUAAGAACCAGGCCAACAUGUAGUGAGACCGAGAGCAUGAGGCUUCAGUACCUGUCUACUAACAUCAGAUGCAUUAGUUGAUGUCUUGAUUAGUUGUAGCAGGGAACCAGCUUCCAGUGCCUCUUGUACCGAUCAUCAGCAAGGGAGUGCUAGAGGAGGAGGUUAUGGUGAGUUUUGUCGCGACUAAUGGUGAGCCCACGACUACGGCCACAUCAAAGCUGGUCUGGUGGAACCUCGUGGAGCAGAUGACGAUGACGCCGACAUCCUGCACCUCUGCUGCGACGCUGCCGACCAGGACGCGGGCCCCUCCGUCGCGCGCGCUCUACAAGUCUGGAUCCAUCAUCGUGCUCGGCAAGACUGACUUCCUUAGGCCAGACAUGGAUCCCAUAACCAGAUGGACAGCCACAAAGAAAAGUGGCCUGAUUAGCUACAAGAAGCUCUUGUUCCAUGGACUCGAUCUCUGGACCGCACUAUCGUUGCCUCAACCCCUAGGUCGUGCUGCCCUCUGGCC